GGGCCCAUAGCUCAGUCUGGCAGAGCACCUGGCUCUUAACCAGGGGGUCGCGGGUUCAAAUCCCGUUGGGCCCACCA
rnacentral:tRNA from 1 species